rnacentral:rRNA from 1 species
AUUGAACGCUGGCGGCAGGCCUAACACAUGCAAGUCGAACGAGUGGCGGACGGGUGAGUAAUGUCUGGGAAACUGCCUGAUGGAGGGGGAUAACUACUGGAAACGGUAGCUAAUACCGCAUACCAUCGGAUGUUCCCAGAUGGGAGUAGCUAGUAGGUGGGGGAAAGGCCAACCUAGGCGACGAGCCCUAGCUGGUCUGAGAGGGUGACAAGCAACACUGGAACUGAGACUCGGUCCAGGCUCCUACGGGAGGCAGCAGUGGGGAAUAGUGCACAAUGGGCGCAAUCCUGAUGCAGCCAUGCCGCGUGUAGGAAGAAGGCUUUCGGGUUUUAAAGUACUUGCAGCGGGGAGGCGUUACCCGCAGAAGAAGCACCGGCUAACACCGUGCCAGCAGCCGCGGUAAUAC